GAUGAACGCUGGCGGCGUGCUUAACACAUGCAAGUCGAACGGUGAAGCAGGAGCUUGCUCUUGUGGAUCAGUGGCGAACGGGUGAGUAACACGUGAGCAACCUGCCCCUGACUCUGGGAUAAGCGCUGGAAACGGCGUCUAAUACUGGAUAUGUGAUGUGACCGCAUGGUCUGCAUCUGGAAAGAAUUUCGGUUGGGGAUGGGUUCGCGGCCUAUCAGCUUGUUGGUGAGGUAAUGGCUCACCAAGGCGUCGACGGGUAGCCGGCCUGAGAGGGUGACCGGCCACACUGGGACUGAGACACGGCCCAGACUCCUACGGGAGGCAGCAGUGGGGAAUAUUGCACAAUGGGCGGAAGCCUGGUGCAGCAACGCCGCGUGAGGGAUGACGGCCUUCGGGUUGUAAACCUCUUUUAGCAGGGAAGGAGCGAAAGUGACGGUACCUGCAGAGAAAGCACCGGCUAACUACGUGCCAGCAGCCGCCGUAA
rnacentral:rRNA from 1 species